rnacentral:tRNA from 1 species
GCGGGGGUAGCAAAGUGGACAAAUGCGCAAGGUUCAGGGCCUUGUCCCUUAGUGGGUUCAUGGGUUCGAAUCCCAUCCCCCGCA